rnacentral:rRNA from 1 species
UACGGAGGAUGCAAGCGUUAUCCGGAAUGAUUGGGCGUAAAGCGUCCGCAGGCGGCAGUUCAAGUCUGCUGUCAAAGACCGGGGCUUAACUUCGGAAAGGCAGUGGAAACUGAACAGCUAGAGUAUGGUAGGGGCAGAGGGAAUUCCUGGUGUAGCGGUGAAAUGCGUAGAUAUCAGGAAGAACAUCGGUGGCGAAGGCGCUCUGCUGGGCCAUAACUGACACUCAGGGACGAAAGCUAGGGGAGCGAAUGGG